AAUGAUGCAGUGGAUGUGAAGUGGAUGUGAAGGGGUGAAGGGAUACUGUACUGUACUGCUGUAUAAUCUACAUUUAUAAUAGGUGGUAUUUGAUUGCUUUGUAUAUUACAUUAUUUUAAACAGGUUAGAAUUGUGUAUUUAUGUCUUCAUCUUUAUAUAUUUUUUAAAACAUUGACAUUUUCUAAGAGGAUGUCUGAGUAAUGUCAAGCAGACUGUAGUUUUUAUUUUUCACCAGCAGGUGGCAGUUAUUUACCACUAAACUGAAUGGAAUGGCAGGUCUUUAUGCACUAUACUGUACAGAGCGCCUUGGGAAUAGCACAUUGGUGCUUCUGUCACUUCUGAAACUACUCUACUGUGUUCUUGCGUCUGUAAUUUAUAGCAAAGUAUAUUGAAUUAUGAAUUCAAUAUCAUUUGCUAUAGGAGGGAGCACCCCACUAUCCACAUCGACGGGACCGCAGUGAGGAAGGUGGAAAGCUUCAAGUUCCUCGGCGUACACAUCACUGACAAACUGAAAUGUUCCACCCGCACAAACAGUGUGGUGGAGAAGGCACAACAGCAAUUUUUUUUCUGUCUUGGCACCUAAAGCCCUCACAAACUUUUACAGAUGUACAAUUGAGAGCAUCCUGUUGGGCUGUAUCACCGCCUGGUACGGCAACUGCACCGCCCACAACUGCAGGGCUCUCCGGAGGGUGGUGCGGUCUGCCCAACGCAUCACCGGGGGCAAACUACCUGCCCUUCAGGACACCUAAGGCUACCAAUGUCAGAGUAAGGCCAAAAAGAUCAUCAAGGACAACAACCACCGAGCCACUGCCUGUUCACCCCGCUAUCAUCCAGAAGGCAAGAUACAGGAGGCCAGGGUGCAUUGGAAGACACCUGUGAGUGAGCAGCACGAGCCAGCUAGCACUCUGGCAGUGGAGCCAACGCCUCAGUGGGAAACCCGACUUCAUCUCCUCUUUAGAAACAUUGCCUAGGAGCCCAAAACACAGCCACCCUGACAGGAAGGGAGAGAUACAGGGGCCAAUACUGGAGUUUACUUAUAUCAUGUGCUGAACACCCUUUCAUUCCCUUAAUAUGCUGCAGUCACAGCAAGGACACAAAUUAGAUGAGCCCUGGUAUGUCUCCACACCGCAUGCCACGGAGGAUGACAGAUAUUCUCAUGGGAAAUGUGGGUAUGUCUGUUCUGUACUUGUCUCUUACUUUUGCUGUUUGUCACAUAUUUGCGUUUCUCACACAUCCACGCACGCACGCACGCACACACGCACACACACACACACACACACACACACAGUCUUCUACUUUAGGCUAUUCCAUUCCGUUGCCCAAUUGCCAAACAGCAAGGGAGUCCUGCCUCUCUACAGCAGGGCAGGGACCAUGCAGGCUUUUAUAUCCUCCACCCAUCCAGGCAGGCGAGGAUGCUGCUGAGGACAUGUGUGCCUGUGUGUGUGUGUCUGUGUGUGGGUGGGUGUGUGUGUAUAUGUGUGUGCACGUGCAUGUUUGUUUGUCUAUUCUAUCUUACUUUCACAGAAACAGAUAGAGAAGGAGAUAGAGAGAGAGCGAGAAUGAAAAAGAGAGAGAGAAACUCUUCCCCUCUCUCUUCCCAACCCAGCACCAGGGUCCAGCCUGAUUUUCAGAUUUUCACAGCUGGGGGCAACUGACUCACCUGUCUCCUCUCCUCCCUCCAUCCUUCCAUUCAGGCCUGGCCCACAUCACAAUCUCCUGAGAAUGAAAAAGAGAGAGAGAAACUCCUCCCCUCUCUCUUCCCAACCCAGCACCAGGGUCCAGCCUGAUUUUCAGAUUUUCACAGCUGGGGGCAACUGACUUACCUGUCUCCUCUCCUCCCUCCAUCCUUCCAUUCAGGCCUGGCCCACAUCACAAGCCAGCUGUGAGGCUACAAUCAAACAAUCUCCUGCAGGGUGGGCCUCUUGGGGAACACUGACAUCAGUGCCUAGGAAUGAGCUAAUAUGCUCCAAUAAUGAGGCAUGGGUAAAUCUGGGAACUAAAUCAGUUUUCUGCAUUAUUUAAACCUGGGUCUGCCUGGUAUCUUUACUCAUACCGUUCAAGCUAGAUAUACAUCAAAAUAUAAAUCAAAGUUGUUGCGAAUGGUAUUCCACUUUCCAGAGAAGGAAGGUCAAAUGUCAAUAUUUUGCCUCAACUACAGUAUGGUAUAAUUCUGGAGAUUCCCCUGGGCAGGAAACAUCUCAAGUGUACUGCAUGUGGGCUACAUACAUGCGUGCAAGUAUACAGGCAUGCACUCCGUCAUGCGUGUAAUAUCAUGCAAUAUUUUGUCUCAGCAGAAAUGUCAUACUGUAGUAUAGUGAAGUGGUCACAUCUCUAGUGCACAGCACAGUGUGUAGGCUACCUACACACAUGAAUGCAAGCAUACAUACAGACAUGCAGGCACAACAUCUCUUAAGACAACACACACAUGACUAUGACACAUAUCAGCCCGUGUAGCUAAGUAACACGGCAGGGUACAGUAUUCUGCACUACCAUGGUGCGUUUGCCAUUUGUUAUUCCCCGUCCACCGCAGGGUUGCCAUCCAUGCUCUACUUUACGGUGCAGCAAACAGGUAUGUCUCCAGCCAGCUACAGUCUGAGUGCAUGUGUGUUAUGGCGGGGAGGUGGAGGACACCCCCCCGUAGCCAGACGGAGAGCGCUUCAGUAAUGUCAGCCACUUCAUUAAGGGGAGAGUGGAUUUGAUGGCAGUGACAUAGGGAGAGGUGGCUGGUACUCUGGCUGGCUUUGAGGAACUCCAGUAUCAACUCUCUGUGUAUUUUUCCAUUCGGUCCAGAUCUGGCCCAGCCCUUGCCCUACCUCGGCCCGGAGUAAAACCCAUCUGAACCCAACUGUGACAGCUGAGCUAAUUACCGUCCUCAAAUCCCACAAGGCUGACAGGCCCGUUAGCUCCCAGAUUUACACUUUGAAUCCCAUCAUCCGUUUCAACAUCAUUUUGCUCAUACUAGGUGUUUUUGGCCAGCUAUACAGCAAUAUCCAGCAUCCAACACCAUCCUCGGUUAAAAGAAUCCCAUACGCUGAUAGGUUCGGUUGUCACAAAGGAGUGUUUGCAAUCAAUGGUGAACAUGCACGGACAUAUUAAUACAUUGUUUCAUGAGGGUGCUUCUGCAAAGGAAACCCCCUCCCUGGAGUCACACACAAUUUUCUGUUUUUUUUUUGUAAAAAUGACCAUUGAACAACAGGAAAUAUUACAGACUGUGGCUUUAUUGAAGAAUCACUU